AUUGAACGCUGGCGGCAGGCCUAACACAUGCAAGUCGAGCGGAUGAGGAAAGCUUGCUUUUCGAUUCAGCGGCGGACGGGUGAGUAAUGCCUAGGAAUCUGCCUGUUAGUGGGGGAUAACUCGGGGAAACUCGGGCUAAUACCGCAUACGUCCUACGGGAGAAAGUGGGGGAUCUUCGGACCGCACGCUAACAGAUGAGCCUAGGUCGGAUUAGCUAGUAGGUGAGGUAAUGGCUCACCUAGGCGACGAUCCGUAACUGGUUUGAGAGGAUGAUCAGUCAAACUGGAACUGAGACACGGUCCAGACUCCUACGGGAGGCAGCAGUGGGGAAUAUUGGACAAUGGGCGAAAGCCUGAUCCAGCCAUGCCGCGUGUGUGAAGAAGGUCUUCGGAUUGUAAAGCACUUUAAGUUGGGAGGAAGGGUAUUCACCUAAUACGUGGGUACUUUGACGUUACCAACAGAAUAAGCACCGGCUAACUCUGUGCCAGCCGCCGCCGUAAUAC
rnacentral:rRNA from 1 species